ACAGGAAAAAGGAAGAAAUUGAGUGUCUAAGAGCGGUAGGAAUAGGAAAAUUGAGGAAAGCCUGCAUUCUAUUAUUGCCCAUCAAAAUUGGGGUUGAAGAUAAUGUUUAUGUUUUCCUAAUGCCUCCUAUUCCUAUAGUUGUUAGAUGCUUCUUCCUCUUCCUUCUAGCU
rnacentral:pre_miRNA from 1 species